UAAUAUUUAGUUCUCAAACUAACAGAGCGCGCUAGCAGCAGCACUGCAAGCGCGCCGCCAAAAUCCACUUUUAAAAAUCCUAAAAAAAAAUGUUGAACAAUUUCUUUCGAAUUUUAAACAUCUAUCGUCUAGACUUUAACUUAUUAGAACAAUGUAACUCCUAUCCAUAAUCAACUAAGUAUAUUGUGAGAUUGGCCAACUCUUACAAAAUGUUCCAGCUACAAUAAUUGUUGUUACUUGUUGGAGGUCAGUUUUACAGCUUUUGGUGAUCAGAUGCCCAUUCCAAUACAGAUUUUCAAAGUAGUAAUUCCAACUGAGACAGCCCAUUGAGGGGAAAAGAGAAAGUAACCCCACCUCCUUUAGUUUCGCCCCGGAUUCUUACAAUGCGAUCCAUACAUACUGAUAC